rnacentral:rRNA from 1 species
UGACCUCGGUUCAGACGUGAUUACCCG